UCACGAAAUAUGAAAACAUUUCCGUAUCUUUAGCAUGGUGGUUAAAAAGUAAUGAAAAUUAUGGAUUCACGUGUAAAAUUAUUUUCUUCGAAGAAUACAUGAUUAAAAAUGAAUUUGAGAAUUUCUUCUUCCUCUUAUACCAAGGGAAAAGCCCCUUGUCCAGCCCUCGCACCUAUAGGAGCACCAAAUGGCGCACUUGGACAAUGGCGCCCCUGUCUGUUCAGGGCCCAUGUGGCCCUGGACGUCGAGCAGGCCCUUGUACCAAAUGAGUAUAAUCAUAUAAUAACCCAGUGCUCUCAAGGCGAUUGGAACACAUGGAACAUAACAUGAAAUCAAUCACUUGACUGGGGUCUGUCCAACAUUUGAUUCAUUAGCAAUUUGUCGAUGUUCUGCUGGGCAGUUGCAAUGAUCACCAACAUAAGCCACCUAGCAUGAUCCAAAUCCGGAUUGUGUCCGGACCCUAAUGUGUCUGUAUAUGGUGCACCCAUUGCGUCUUCGUGGAUCGACCCGUUAGUGACCCUGUCAUUUUACAAUUUUGUUUUAGAGCUUGUUUGGUACUAGCCAAUUAAAAUCAACUUUUUGAUCGUUAUUUAACUAUUACAAUCGUUAUUUUUUAAUUCUUCUCUCACGAGUAAGACAUAUUUUAUUUCUAACAUUCAAAAAAUCAAUUAUCAAAAUUUCUACCAAACAAGCACUUAAUCAAUGAACUUUAACUGCCCGACAAUCUCUUUCAAUUAGGAAAAGUUAAAGGGCCUUUUUCCAAUGAUCUUUAAAGUUAAUAACAAAUCUCUUUU
rnacentral:lncRNA from 1 species